GUCUACAGCCAUACUGCCUUGAAUGCACGGAUCUUGUUAUAUCUCAGAAGGCAAGCAAGGUUGGGCCCCAGUUCGUUAGUACUUAGAUGGGAGAAUGUAACUC
ensembl:rRNA nuclear encoded rRNA 5S 63